rnacentral:rRNA from 1 species
GACGAACGCUGGCGGCGUGCUUAACACAUGCAAGUCGAACGGAGUGGCGAACGGGUGAGUAACACGUGGGUGAUCUGCCUUGCACUCUGGGAUAAGCUUGUGAAACUGGGUCUAAUACCGGCUAUUGCAAUAUGAGCUCGCGUCCGAUAAGCUUUUUUGUGGGGUAAUGGCCUACCAAGGCGUCGACGGGUAGCCGGCCUGGGGGGGUGUACGGCGGCAUUGGGACUGAGAUACGGCCCAGACGCGUACGGGAGGCAGCAGUGGGGAAUCUUGCACAAUGGGCGGAAGCCUGAUGCAGCGACGCCGCGUGGGGGAUGACGGCCUUCGGGUUGUAAACUCCUUUCGACAGGGACGCGGUACCUGUAUAAGAAGCACCGGCUAACUACGUGCCAGCCGCCGCGGUAAUAC